AUUGAACGCUGGCGGCAGGCCUAACACAUGCAAGUCGAGCGGAGCGGCGGACGGGUGCGUAAUGCCUAGGAAUCUGCCUGGUAGAGGGGGAUAACGUCCGGAAACGGGCGCUAAUACCGCAUACUAUCAGAUGAGCCUAGGUAGGUUUAGCUAGUUGGUGGGGUAACGGCCUACAAAGUCAACGAUCCGUCACUGGUCUGAGAGGAUGAUCAGUCAAACUGGAACUGUGACACGGUCCAGACUCCAACGGGAGGCAGCAGAGGGGAAGAUUGGCAAAUGGGGGAAAGCCUGAUCCAGCCAUGCCGCGGGUGUGAAGAGGGUCUUCGGAUUGUAAAGCACGUUCAGUUGGGAGGCGUUACCUACAGAAUAAGCACCGGCUAACUUCGUGCCAGCAGCCGCGGUAAUUC
rnacentral:rRNA from 1 species